rnacentral:rRNA from 1 species
UUUGAUAUUCAUAACGUGAUGGAAACACCUGAUCCCAUUCCGAAUUCAGAAGUGAAAUAUCAUAGUGCCGAUGGUAGUAUAGAUUAUUCUAUGUUAGAGUAGGAAAAUAUCAUUU